GUCGAGAAUAAUUCACAAUGGACGAAAGUCUGAUGGUGCAACGCCGCGUGGAGGAUGACGGUCUUCGGAUUGUAAACUCCUGUCAUCCGGGAGUAAGACCUGGCUGUGAAUAGCAGACAGGGUUGAUAGUACCGGAAGAGGAAGGGACGGCUAACUUCGUGCCAGCAGCCGCGGUAAUACGAAGGUCCCGAGCGUUGUUCGGAAUCACUGGGCGUAAAGGGAGCGUAGGCGGCGUGGUAAGUCAGAUGUGAAAUCCCGGGGCUACACCCCGGAACUGCAUCCGAUACUGCCGUGCUAGAGGAUUGGAGAGGUAGCUGGAAUUCUUGGUGUAGCAGUGAAAUGCGUGGAGAUCAAGAGGAACACUCGUGGCGAAAGCGAGCUACUGGACAAUAUCUGACGCUGAGGCUCGAAGGCCAGGGUAGCGAAAGGGAUUAGAUACCCCGGUAGUCC
rnacentral:rRNA from 1 species